CGCCCCCAGAGGCUUAGUGUCAGUGUUAACACUUCAAACACUCAAUAUCUCCACAAAACACAAAGGACACACAACUGCUUGCCAUUGUCAUCGUUUCUUCUAGAAAAAGAGAUAUGGAUCCCUCCCAAAGUGUGACUUAACACACCUAUGGCAUCAUGCGCGACAUCACAGCCACUGCUGGAGGCUAAUCUCCAACCACUGGGAUCUGAUUUCCAGCAGUAUUGACAGUUCAUGAAUCAAUCUGUGCCAGCUUCCUCUACUGAACCUGAUGCCGCUCCCAUACUAUGCCUGUGACUCUGAGCUGUACGACUCAGUUUCCCUGUGCUGUGUGCCUGCUUCCUCUACUGAACCUGAUGCCGCUCCCAUACUACGCCUGUGACUCUGAGCUGUACGACUCAGUUUCCCUGUGCUGUGUGCCUGCUUCCUCUACUGAACCUGAUGCCGCUCCCAUACUACGCCUGUGCCUCUGAGCUGUACGACUCAGUUUCCCUGUGCUGUGUGCCUGCUUCCUCUACUGAACCUGAUGCCGCUCCCAUACUACGCCUGUGACUCUGAGCUGUACGACUCAGUUUCCCUGUGCUGUGUGCCUGCUUCCUCUACUGAACCUGAUGCCGCUCCCAUACUACGCCUGUGACUCUGAGCUGUACGACUCAGUUUCCCUGUGCUGUGUGCCUGCUUCCUCUACUGAACCUGAUGCCGCUCCCAUACUACGCCUGUGACUCUGAGCUGUACGACUCAGUUUCCCUGUGCUGUGUGCCUGCUUCCUCUACUGAACCUGAUGCCACUCCCAUACUACGCCUGUGACUCUGAGCUGUACGACUCAGUUUCCCUGUGCUGUGUGCCUGCUUCCUCUACUGAACCUGAUGCCACUCCCAUACUACGCCUGUGACUCUGAGCUGUACGACUCAGUUUCCCUGUGAUGUGUGCCUGCUUCCUCUACUGAACCUGAUGCCGCUCCCAUACUACGCCUGUGACUCUGAGCUGUACGACUCAGUUUCCCUGUGAUGUGUGCCUGCUUCCUCUACUGAACCUGAUGCCGCUCCCAUACUACGCCUGUGCCUCUGAGCUGUACGACUCAGUUUCCCUGUGCUGUGUGCCUGCUUCCUCUACUGAACCUGAUGCCGCUCCCAUACUACGCCUGUGCCUCUGAGCUGUACGACUCAGUUUCCCUGUGCUGUGUGCCUGCUUCCUCUACUGAACCUGAUGCCACUCCCAUACUACGCCUGUGACUCUGAGCUGUACGACUCAGUUUCCCUGUGCUGUGUGCCUGCUUCUGAGAGGUGAUAAUCCGGACAAUUUAAACCUUUCUUACAAGCAGAAGUGAAACCAUUAAUCCUGUGAGAUUCUUCUGAUAAGUGGUGACUGUGAAGUAAUGGCCAUGUCGCCUAGAAAAAUAAAAAUAUGUGGACAAUUAAAACAAGAUGGACAUUAUCUGGCAAGUCCCUACUCCCCUUUUCUUUAGCAGUAUUGUAAUUGAUCUGUCCCUUUGUUACUAAACGGAAUAUUGAGUCCUGGCUUUUUGUUCAUUAUCUGUGGAUUUUAACUUGGUGCAUAUUUGUCAAGUUUGAAAAUCAUGUAAAAAAGGAAACACAUAUACAAAUGCUGUUCUGAAGAAAAGUCAAUUCUCAUGACACCUGCUAAAGUUUCUGGCUAUAAUGUGUUGACCUUUCCAGGCACCCCUGUUGUUUAGUUAUUUGAAAGUACUUUCUCAAGCUGCAGUAUAUGACAGGAGUAUAUUGUAUCUGGAAUUAAGUCCAUUCACAUUUGAUUGUCCUUAAAAACUCUGUCAAACUUUUGCACUGGGAGCUUUGCCCUAGAAAAGCAAUGUGACGUGUUUGGGCCGGGGGGUAAUAAUCUGGUUCCCUGACCGUAGUGAACACCCUAAUUUCUGUGUCUUGGCAAAGAGAUUAGUGUGUUGAAUUAUGGUAAUUAGAGAUUGAAUUAUAAAAGUUUGACAUUUUCACCCUCAAUUGUGUGAGCAAAAAGUGUAUGGAAUCAUAUAUAAACUUUUAAGUUGAUAUUUUUAAUUGCAAAGCACAUUAUAUUAAUUUCCUCCUACGUAUAACAAAAGGUGAAGUGGCAUCACAAUUAUAGUUGAAAUAUGUAGUCCUUCAAAACAUUUGAUAUUAUUUCACUCUGCUAUGUUGACUUUAACAUUAUAUGUGCCUCUGUUACUAACUGUAAUCAGUUGUUGAUAUUGCUGUCCCUGAGUGUUUCAUGUCAUUGACAGUCAGAUAAUUAGGUAUCAUCUAUGCUUCAGUAACAAUAUAAAAAGCCAUUAUAAUGGAUGGUUUUAAUUAAUGCCAUAUUUGAUUAUUAGCUCAUUUGAAUGUUUAUAUUUUGGCACAUAUUCUAAUAUGUGAUAGAAAGAGCAGAAAUGAAUUGUAUUACCCUUAGUGCAUAGCUGUUUUUAAUUGUAUGAUUCCAUAACUGUUUAUGACAGGAAAUGGGUUAUUUUUUGUGAUUUAUCCAUCUGAGAUAAUGUUAGCAAGACUUUGAUAUUGCAUUAAGAUUGGGGAGAAGGUCAUAUAUGAAGAUGCCAAAACCAGCACCAGGGCAACUUGCUCAUCUGAAAGGACAUGUAUUUUCACAUGGAGGUCUUGGGAAUGAAAGAACAGUGGGAGGUUUAAUUUAGAGAUGGUCAAUACAACAACAUUCAGAUGGGCCAUCCUCUAAUCUCAUAAGAAUAUUCUCUCCAAAGAACCUCAAACUAUCCAAUUUAGAUGAAAUCCACAUGUAGUUCAUAUUGACCAUUCCAUAUUGAACCGGGAACGUUGUAUUCUACAUGCCAAAUAGGGAAUAUUCUGGCAGAAUCCCAGUGCCUGGCAUGUGAUAUUCUGCAUUAUUUUGGCCGUAAUUCUGUUUAGAUCAAAGGGAUUCAAGGGGCCUAAGUUUCAAAUCCCCCAAAGCCCAUUUUGGCUACUCUUUAUUUAGCUCAUUGGCAUUCUGACACCAUGCUUCUGAGACUUUGAACCCUCAAAGUUUGGAAAAGCUGAAUCGCUUCUUUAAACACAUCAGUGGGCCAGAUUAAAGAAUAUCACUAAGCAUCUUAAGGUUUUAGUGCAGUGUGGCGGCAUGGUUUGGGCUUCUGGGGCCAUUUACCGCCAUAUACUGUAUUAACAAUGGCUGAGAAAACAGGCCGAGGGGGGUGGAGAAAACUUCCCUCAUGCUAAAUUGAGUUUGGGUAACAUUAAGUAGAGUAGAAAGAAUGAUACUGAAGAGCUGGAGUAAAGGUCAAAAAGAGUCAGUUGGAUACCUCAGUGUUGUUUCAAUGUUUUAGCUAAAUUUAUUUGUUCAUUUUACAUUUAAAAUAAGUUAAUUUAUAGGUUUUAAACAUGUACUGGCUUAUACCGGCUUAUACGUUACUAUAACACUACUUUGUAUCUGAAACAGAGGCAGAAAUUCAAUCAAAUGGUAAUGAAAUUGAUUUUUAAUUGGCCACCUCCCUCUGUCAGGUACAGUAUAUCUCCAAAUAAGUCAACACAUUCACACGUCUUAACAAUUUGCCACAUGUGAGUACCAGCUGCUUUAACCACUUUGGUAUUGUACCUUUCCAUCCAGAAUUAAGUAAAAACUAUUAAUUUACCUAAACAGAUAGAUCAACCUGUAGAAGUGUAUGUGAAACAAAAGUAGUUUCUAAUAAGUGUGAUUUUGGUAAUGUGCAAAGAUUCCUCAUCACAGACUCUUACACCCCCUCAAUCUCAUCAGCCCUCAUGAUUAAGAUUUGGCAUCUUGGACCACAUUGUCUUCAUUUUGGAAAUAUUUCAGCUGCAUUUCUGCCACUCUGAAGGGAGAUGAAGAUAAAGGAGAAGAACGGUAAAAACACACCCUGUUGUGUGAAUCCUAGAGAAGGCCUUGAACCCUGCCAUUCAUCCCUUUCACUUCAUCAGCUGAGUCUAAUUGCCAGAGAGGACAGGAGACCCCAGGCCCUAUUGUUCCUCCUCCUCUUUGGAGCCUGAAAAGUGAAAGGGCUGCUUUUGAUCUUUUUUCAGAUUUUUUUCUCUUUUCUGUCAUCCCCUGCUAUCCUUUCCCUCAGAGUGACACACUCCUUUCAAACUGUGCCCCCUUCUCCAUCCACGCAAAAUAAUUAUCAUGCUCCGCUUCAUCAAAUAAUGGUGGCGAUAGAAGGUCACGGCGGGGAGGGCCAGAGGUCUAGAGGAGUGGCACUAGGACGUGGUAGAGCUCCCAGCUCAUCUUAGAGGCAUGCUCCUUAGCUCGGGGUACCUUUUAUGUACCUUGACCCCGCUUUUCCUUUGGCUGUCCUAAUGAGACCCUCUCACACGGCCAAAGCAAUACUGGUCCUGUGCUAGCAGGGUUGGAAGGCCAAAGUACAAUGAGACACAGAGCUAUGCUGAGACAAGGGCGCAUCUGUGCUGUCUUAUUAAGCCUUGGAAAGGAGCUCAUGCUUUUCAACGUCCCAUAGGCGCUAUGGCCAGAUCUAUUGACACCUACUUGUCCUUUGCGGUCAACACCUUUCAGAGGAGCAGCCUACACUCACAAGUUCUUAUUAGGAGUAAUUUUGGAAAGCUUAUUUGGAGAGGCAACUGCUUAACUUGGUUUAGGUGUCCAUGUGAGAAAUGGCAUAAGCAGUCGGGAAUUCAGAAGAAUGAUGAAGAAAAAUUCCUUGAGACUAAGAAGAUUACAAAGGAUGUCUAAGACCAUUCCAGUCAGAAGAAAACUGCCCUUCAAUUUGGAAUAAACCCCAAGGAUGCCCUCUCUGUGUGGGUACUUACACACAAGCGUCAAUCACUUUUUGAGUCUCAUUACUCCCUUGUUGAGAUAUAGAGAGCCUGGGUAAUGUUCAUCAAUAUUUAGAACUCGUAGUUCUACAAACAGGAUUAACUUGUGUUUAAUCGUUGUGGAGAGAAUGCAGAAAUCAGCUAAUUGUGAUGUAGUGUAUGUUAUAUAUCCUGAAAUUUUGAAUAGCAGAUUGUGUUGCAGUUUAUUACAAUGAUCACAAUCUAAAUAUCUAUAUAUCUGUUAUUUAUGUGAGUCAUACUCAAUGAUAAAUACACGGACAUGGCCUAGUCCACUACCUUACUAACAAAAUGGACAACGGGGGAAUAGUUUAAAUAGACAGAACAAAAAAUGACAAACAAACAAACACAAGUAGGCAAACAAAAACCUUUAAGCAAUCAUGUAAAGCACGUGUAACAUCUGAGCAGGGAGAGAGAACAAAGCGGAGCUCCUGUCAGAGCAUCGAUCUGCUCCUGAAGCUACACAGAUCCACAGAGCUCUGAUUGCUCCCUGCCUCUCUCCCCAGCGCCUGCCUCCAACUCUUCUCUCUCUGGCUCCUCUCGGAGAAUGUGCUUAUUGAUUUAGCCCUCUUCUGUGCAGUUAACUCACUGAUAUAUACUGACCGAGGGCUUUCUUGGGCCUGAAAGCAUUUGAAUGCUGGUGAGAAAACAAUAAAUUAAAAAAGAAAGAAUAAGAACGCUAGUCAAAAGACUCAGCCUGUAACACAGAUGUUCCCUUUGUGCCUAGUGAGAGACAGUUGGACAGUUACAAGUGGAGAAUAAUAUAAUCCCGAAUAUGUAACAAAGUAGCUCUGGCAAGUAGCUGGUGGUGUUGUUAUUUCAAUAUCACUAUUGCCAACAUUAACUAAAGAUCUCCUUCUAGUUUUCCUUUUCAAGUAUCAAGUGUUCUUCAACGUUUGUCAGCACAUUUAUGGUAGAAUCAAUGUGUCUGCAAUUACUGUGUGGGGAUCUGGUUGUGUUUGCUUGUCUUUGUGACGUGUGUGUAGUCAGGUCCAUAGUGGGUGGUUAUGUGUCGAUCUUUGUGUAUUUUAGCAAGUGUUUUCUGUUGUCAUGUUUGUAGCGUUCCAUGUGGGAGGGUCUGCUGAGAAGCAAGCCAUCUGUAGUGUUCUGCCGAGCGACAUGUUGUAAAGCGAGAUUUGAGAGUGUGGGGAGACUUGACUUGUCAAAUCUUGGCACAUAAUGAGACAGAAGGGAGUGAAGACAGGAAAGUGUCCAGAGAUAAACAAUUAGAUGAGUCUCAGCGGUAAAGGGCAUGGGCAAUGGGAGGACGCUCCCAAAAACCAAAUCAAUAUGGCUUCCAGUAAGGACACACUGGGGUAAAGGGAUGAAGGGGUUAACACUUAUUUCUCAGAUCAGGACAUAGAAGAACAGAGUCGUGGCUUGCUCAAAAUCAAUAGGCCUACUGUUGUGAACAUGGAUUGAAGAAAGCGGUCUGUCAUUGUAAACACAUUUCAAUACUGUAUUUGAUACACAACAUAGUCACAGUAUUACAUUGUAGAUGUAAUAAGAUACAAAGACAUGACACGAAUACCAACCGAAAGUGGGGGUAUACAGUAUAUCAGCAGGGAUAAUGAACUGAAUUAGGCCAGCCUGUCUCACAGCAACAGCCAAUUUUGAAAUGAAUUGAAAAGAUCUUUAAGGAGGCGGCAUUUGGGAAUGGUGGAUUCACACACCCAAUACAAACAUAAUGGAGCAUGAUCCACAGACAGCGUGGGCUGUCCCAGAGCGUCCCAUCCCCUCUCAGGCCCUGCCCACACUCGCAGGUCUCAUCUCACAUCUCACCACUGUUCCCAGCAGGCCUCACAGGGGUAGUGCUGCCAGGGCAGGAAGGUCAGACUGGAGGUGGGGCGUCUCACUAUGUGCUUGUACUGGCAUUAAAGAAGACAACAAAAAGAGAGGGUGAGUGGGGGAAAAAACUAGUUGUGUGUGACUGCUGCUGCUAGGCUGGGCUGGUCUCCUCUGAGACUUGGAGGCGCUGACCAGAAAGGUGUGAGUCUGAGCCGUGGCCUGCCCGUCGCCUCGUCUCCACGGAGACAGGGACAUGGCCCCCCCGUGGGCUUGUCUCCGUUGUGGCCCGGAGCAGGCGGGAGCGUUUGGGAUGCUGCCUGGCCAUCGCCUGGGCUUCAGAGGGACCAGGAGCCACAGCUCCAAUGACCUUCAACAACCUGUCAACCUGUCAUCUUGGCCUAGGGAAUUAGGAGAAAUAAAAAAUAUAUUCAACUGGGGAAGUCUAUAGAAACAACAUUGACCGUACCAGUGUAUAUUUGUUUGGAGAACAAAAGGGAUUCUAUAUUGUGGUAGAGAAGGCGCUAUAAGAUCAGACGGGGAAUAGGCUCAUUUGAUAUACUCAAACGUCCCUUUUUUAUAUUACCCAAUCCUGACGAGGAAAGGUUUUAAAUGCUGGACUAAGGCGAUCUACUUUUGGAUUUGAUUGGUCUCUCAAAAAUGUAACAGCUGGCAGAAGAGGAGAAAAUAAAAAAAUGUAAAUUAACAUAAUUAGGCAGCAGUACUAUCAUCCCAAUUCUUAUAUUCUACACUCAGUCUUUAUUUCUAAGAGCAGAACAAUGGAGUGAAAUUACUGUUUGGACAGGCCCCCAGGCAGCAUUUUAGUUCGCAACAUUUGAGUUAAAAGAGAGAAAUCUCUAAAAUGUAAUCAGUAGCACCUGCCAUGAUUACAGGCUAUGUCAAAUGAAAAAAUGUAAUGAUAAACAUUACUUCAGACCAAACCACUGAAGCGGUCUACAUUGCACAAUGUGCUGCAAGUAAGCAUAGUCAGUACAGCAUUGUGUUCACUGUCCCCUACUAACCUAUCCUCAGGAUGAGUGAUUGUGGUUAUCAUAUUCUCAGAGCAGCUAACCAAAACAGCAAUCAUAAGUUAUGUGUACAGUCUGUAAACCAGGUAGGUACUGUACGUAGUGAAUCAUACAGUACAUUACUUACUAUCUGCACUAUAUGCCCCUUAUAUUGCAAAUACUGUCGCAUGGUGCUUCUAAAGAGGCUAUUUAUUUUGUGUGCCAGGGUGACUUUUUUUUGUGCCUCAGUAGUCUCAAUUGCCUCAAUUGUAUGGGGAUAAUACAAAUAUAAUAUGUAAAUAGUCUUCCUUUAAUUCAUAUGUGUUUUGGCAUUGGAUGGCAACAUGGCUAUCACACAGGACAAUGUUGAUUUUGUGAUAGUCUUUGUUGAAAGUGUAUAAAAGCAAAAUUAUUGUAAUAUUGAUAGUUCAUGGAUUCAUGUAAAUAGUAUACUGAAAGCAAAUUGCAUAUCUCUUCGUUUUGAAGUAAUCAGAGAUUAUAUCAGGUAAGUCAUGGACACGUUCAAGUUUGUCAUUUUGGAAAACGCAAAUGUAGAUAUGGCUGUAAAGAAUUAAACAAAACAGAAUCUUGCA